rnacentral:rRNA from 1 species
AACAGCUCAAAUUUGAAAUCUGGCUCUUUAGGGCCCGAGUUGUAAUUUGUAGAGGAUGCUUUUGGCGCGGUGCCUUCCGAGUUCCCUGGAACGGGACGCCUUAGAGGGUGAGAGCCCCGUACGGUUGGACACCAAGCCUCUGUAAAGCUCCUUCGACGAGUCGAGUAGUUUGGGAAUGCUGCUCUAAAUGGGAGGUAAAUUUCUUCUAAAGCUAAAUAUUGGCCAGAGACCGAUAGCGCACAAGUAGAGUGAUCGAAAGAUGAAAAGCACUUUGAAAAGAGGGUUAAAUAGCACGUGAAAUUGUUGAAAGGGAAGCGUUUGCGACCAGACCUUUUCCUAGCGGAUCAUCCGGUGUUCUUCGCCGGUGCACUUCGCUAGGUCGAGGCCAGCAUCGGUUUCUGCAGGGGGAUAAAAGCCCAGGGAACGUAGCUCUUUCGGGAGUGUUAUAGCCCUCCGCAUAAUACCCUUGCGGGGACCGAGGACCGCGCUUUUUGCAAGGAUGCUGGCGUAAUGGUCGUCAACGACCCGUCUUGAAACACGGACCAAGGAGUCGAACAUUUAUGCGAGUGUUUGGGUGUUAAACCCUCACGCGUAAUGAAAGUGAACGGAGGUGAGAGCCCUUACGGGUGCAUCAUCGACCGAUCCUGAUGUCUUCGGAUGGAUUUGAGUAAGAGCAUAACUGUUCGGACCCGAAAGAUGGUGAACUAUGCGUGGAUAGGGUGAAGCCAGAGGAAACUCUGGUGGAGGCUCGCAGCGGUUCUGACGUGCAAAUCGAUCGUCAAAUCUGCGCAU